AUGCCUUAUAAUGGUAGUAGUUGUGUACCAACUUGUUCAAAGACUAAGCCAUGAAUGUAUAAAUAUGUAAUAAUUCAAACUUUUAAACUAUGAAUGACUUAUUAAAUUAGUUAUAGUUUAUUUUGUAGGUAUGGCUCGAAUAAUCAUAGUAAUUCUAGAACUAAUACAUACAACAAACCUCGACUUUUGAAAGGAAUGUCUUUAUUGGAUAAAAAUAUUUAUGUAGGUUUUGCCUAUUGCUUUGAUUAUUCAUGAUAACUCUUUGGAUCACAUGACCCUUGUGUCAAUGAUGCAUCAUUCAAAUUUAUGCACUAUCAACUUUCGAUAUUAUGAUAGUGGCCUACUAUAGUGGUGACAGAUGACAAUGAAUUAUGGUUCAAUUUCAAAAAGGAGACCUAAGAAAUGACUACCACAUCCAACCAAGGUAGUAAGUUUGCAAAUUACUCCCUAAUAUGGGGAGGUGGUGACAAUAAGUAACAAUAUAUAAUAGCAUUUAAAUCCCUUAACAAUGAUCAAUUUGAGGACAAGUUUAAUGUUAACAAUUGCGAAAAUUCAAGCUUUAAUAUAAUAUAUUUAAGUUCUUGUACUUAAAAAGCUUGUAAUUGGAUCUUGGGUUUGGUUGAUCGUAUGCCUCUAGUGUGCAUCAGUACACUCGUCCCUUUUGUCGGAGAUGCGCUCCUAACUUUAACUAGUUAGGUUGUGUCUCAAGUGUCGCUACUUUAAAGAAAUUAGAGUGCUUAGCACAAACUUACAUUCUAAAUACAUUAAAAUGGGAUAACACUACAUGAAUAUUAUCGUAUUAGUCUUCGAGAUCAUAGUAAUAAUUAACUAAAACACCGAGGACAUUCGUAUUUUAUAGUUAUAGGUGAAACUCUUGAUUUGAUGAAAGAUGAACAAUUAAAAAAACAUUUACGAAUAACAUUUUCAAAUAACAUUUUCAUUAAUGAAGAACAAAAAUUAGAUGAUGAAAAACAUUAAAAUAUCAUCUUAGUCUCAAUCAUAAACUAUGUUAAACUAGAGAUUCAUAGAUGUUUUUUUAAGACUCUUCUAAUACUUUAUAAAAAAAAUCAAAGUCUUUAGAUUUCC
rnacentral:ncRNA from 1 species